GUUUUGGUGAUAAUUGGUGAAGACGUGUUGACGCACAGAGUUGGCGUGGAUGAAGUUUGUUUAAACAGAUAAGCUAGAAAGACCACCAUUAAUCACUGAAGAUACUCCCACUGAUUAUGAAGAACUUACGGUGAUUGUAUUUGAAAAUGAGGCGCUAUAAAAUAUUGCAAAGAAAUGCUAAAGGAAACGAGUGAAAAAAUCUCCAACAUGGAAACGUCAUCAAAUCUGACAACUGAAAAAGAAAACAAAAACAGAAAUUAUGCCGCCAAAACCACACCUAAACAAAUUUUGACGAAUUACAAGAUUAUGUUUGCAUAUUAGAACAAGCAGAUUUCUUUGUAAGUUAAAAAAAUACAAUGAAUUCAUAUAUACAUAUAUAACAUUAAUAUUGGAUAUUAUAUACCGGUAGAUUCCUGUAAUACUACGAUACUUUUUGGUAACUUACUAUUUACACAUACACAUUUCGCUUCAUUGUAAAAAGUAUUGACAACGAGAUUUUCCUGAUAGGCUGUACGUUUUUGUCAAUGCAACCAUUUUACGAUUAUCCGUUAGGUUCAAGUAAAUUUAGCAUUUUUAAAAUACAGAAUUUGUCUUCUGCUUAAAGCUGUAAUCCCUUAAAUUUAAUAAUAGUCAAAUGCUUGCUAUUGCCCAUAGAUGAAAAAAUGAUUGCAUUUCCAUUAAUCCAUGCACUCUAACGGGUUUUUCUUUUCAGUGCAAUAAAUUGAGGCAAACUUAAAAAACUUAGGUUAUUGAUAUGAUUGUUAAAACAGAAUUAAUUCUUAACGGUACUUUUUUGUGUGUUGGGGACAGUCAAAUCCUCGUGAAUUAGAUAGUUUUACAUAUACUGUGGUUUUACAAAGCAUUUUCAAUCAAGUAACUUCAACAAUGCGAUUCAAUUGUCUUUUCCCUUUA